rnacentral:rRNA from 1 species
UAUAUAAGUUAUCGUUUAUUUGAUAAUACUUUACUACUUGGAUAACCGUGGUAAUUCUAGAGCUAAUACAUGCUGAAAAUCCCGACUUCGGAAGGGAUGUAUUUAUUAGAUUAAAGACCAAUGCCCCUCGGGGCUCUCUGGUGAAUCAUGAUAACUAGUCGAAUCGACAGGCCUUGUGCCGGCGAUGGCUCAUUCAAAUUUCUUCCCUAUCAACUUUCGAUGUUUGGGUAUUGGCCAAACAUGGUGGCAACGGGUAACGGAGGGUUAGGGCUCGACCCCGGAGAAGGAGCCUGAGAAACGGCUACUACAUCCAAGGUAGGCAGCAGGCGCGCAAAUUACCCAAUCCCGACACGGGGAGGUAGUGACAAUAAAUACUGAUACAGGGCUCUUUUGGGUCUUGUAAUCGGAAUGAGUACAAUUUAAAUCCCUUAACGAGGAACAAUUGGAGGGCAAGUCUGGUGCCAGCAGCCGCGGUAAUUCCAGCUCCAAUAGCGUAUAUUAAAUUUGUUGUGGUUAAAAAGCUCGUAGUUGAACCUUGGGCCUGGCUGGCCGGUCCGCCUCACCGCGUGCACUGGUCCGGCCGGGCCUUUCCCUCUGCGGAACCCCAUGCCCUUCACUGGGUGUGGCGGGGAAACAGGACUUUUACUUUG